CGGGACGGGUGAGUAACGCGUGGAUAACCUGCCUCACACUGGGGGAUAACAGUUAGAAAUGACUGCUAAUACCGCAUAAGCGUACAGUACCGCAUGGUACAGUGUGAAAAACUCCGGUGGUGUGAGAUGGAUCCGCGUCUGAUUAGCCAGUUGGCGGGGUAACGGCCCACCAAAGCGACGAUCAGUAGCCGACCUGAGAGGGUGACCGGCCACAUUGGGACUGAGACACGGCCCAA
rnacentral:rRNA from 1 species